AUUGAACGCUGGCGGCAGGCUUAACACAUGCAAGUCGAGCGGAGUGAUGGUGCUUGCACUAUCACUUAGCGGCGGACGGGUGAGUAAUGCUUAGGAAUCUGCCUAUUAGUGGGGGACAACAUCUCGAAAGGGAUGCUAAUACCGCAUACGUCCUACGGGAGAAAGCAGGGGAUCACUUGUGACCUUGCGCUAAUAGAUGAGCCUAAGUCGGAUUAGCUAGUUGGUGGGGUAAAGGCCUACCAAGGCGACGAUCUGGAGCGGGUCUGAGAGGAGGAUCCGCCACACUGGGACUGAGACACGGCCCAGACUCCUACGGGAGGCAGCAGUGGGGAAUAUUGGACAAUGGGGGGAACCCUGAUCCAGCCAUGCCGCGUGUGUGAAGAAGGCCUUAUGGUUGUAAAGCACUUUAAGCGAGGAGGAGGCUCUUUUGGUUAAUACCCAAGAUGAGUGGACGUUACUCGCAGAAUAAGCACCGGCUAACUCUGUGCCAGCCGCCGCCGUAA
rnacentral:rRNA from 1 species